rnacentral:rRNA from 1 species
AUUGAACGCUGGCGGCAGGCCUAACACAUGCAAGUCGAGCGGAUGAAGGGAGCUUGCUCCUGGAUUCAGCGGCGGACGGGUGAGUAAUGCCUAGGAAUCUGCCUGGUAGUGGGGGAUAACGUCCGGAAACGGGCGCUAAUACCGCAUACGUCCUGAGGUAGAAAGUGGGGGAUCUUCGGACCUCACGCUAUCUGAUGAGCCUAGGUCGGAUUAGCUAGUUGGUGGGGUAACGGCCUACCAAGGCGAGGAUCCGUAACUGGUCUGAGGGGAUGAUCAGUCAGACGGGAACUGAGACACGGUCCAGACUCCUACGGGAGGCAGCAGUGGGGAAUAUUGGACAAUGGGCGAAAGGCUGAUCCAGCCAUGCGGCGUGUGUGAAGAAGGUCUUCGGAUUGUAAAGCACUUUAAGUUGGGAGGAAGGGAAGUAAGUUAAUACCUUGCGGUAUUGACGUUACCAACAGAAUAAGCACCGGCUAACUUCGUG